rnacentral:rRNA from 1 species
ACGUAGGAUGCAAGCGUUGUCCGGAUUUAUUGGGCGUAAAGAGUUCGUAGGCGGUUCGUUAAGUCUGAUGUUAAAGACUGGGGCUCAACCCCGGGAGUGCAUUGGAUACUGGCGGACUGGAGUGUGGUAGAGGCUAGUGGAAUUCCCAGUGUAGCGGUGAAAUGCGUAGAUAUUGGGAAGAACACCAGUGGCGUAGGCGACUAGCUGGGCCAUAACUGACGCUGAGGAACGAAAGCCAGGGGAGCGAAUGGGA